ACCAGACUCCUACGGGAGGCAGCAGUGGGGAAUAUUGCACAAUGGGGGGAACCCUGAUGCAGCGACGCCGCGUGAGUGAAGAAGUAUUUCGGUAUGUAAAGCUCUAUCAGCAGGGAAGAAAAACCGGCCAUAGGGUCGCUAGACGGUACCUGAUUAAGAAGCCCCGGCUAACUACGUGCCAGCAGCCGCGGUAAUACGUAGGGGGCAAGCGUUAUCCGGAUUUACUGGGGGUAAAGGGAGCGUAGACGGCCAGGCAAGCCUGGAGUGAAAGCCCGGGGCCCAAGCCCGGGACGGCUCUGGGAACUGGCCGGCUGGAGUGCGGGAGGGGGAGGCGGAAUUCCUGGUGUAGCGGUGAAAUGCGUAGAUAUCAGGAGGAACACCGGUGGCGAAGGCGGCCUGCUGGACUGCA
rnacentral:rRNA from 1 species